rnacentral:rRNA from 1 species
GACGAACGCUGGCGGCGUGCUUAACACAUGCAAGUCGAACGGUGAAGCGCCUUCCUUUUUGGUGGGUGUGGAUGAGUGGCGAACGGGUGAGUAACACGUGAGUAACCUGCCCCCUUCUUCUGGAUAACCGCAUGAAAGUGUGGCUAAUACGGGAUAUUCUGGGUCUGUCGCAUGAUGGGUCUGGGAAAGAUAUUGUUUCGGUGGGGGAUGGGCUCGCGGCCUAUCAGCUUGUUGGUGGGGUGAUGGCCUACCAAGGCGGUGACGGGUAGCCGGCCUGAGAGGGUGGGCGGUCACACUGGGACUGAGACACGGCCCAGACUCCUACGGGAGGCAGCAGUGGGGAAUAUUGCACAAUGGGCGCAAGCCUGAUGCAGCGACGCCGCGUGAGGGAUGGAGGCCUUCGGGUUGUGAACCUCUUUCGCCAGUGAAGCAGGCCUGCCUCGUUUGUGGGUGGGUUGACGGUAGCUGGAUAAGAAGCGCCGGCUAACUACGU